UACGUAGGGUGCAAGCGUUGUCCGGAAUUAUUGGGCGUAAAGAGCUCGUAGGCGGCUUGUCACGUCGAUUGUGAAAGCCCGGGGCUUAACUCCGGGUCUGCAGUCGAUACGGGCUAGCUAGAGUGUGGUAGGGGAGAUCGGAAUUCCUGGUGUAGCGGUGAAAUGCGCAGAUAUCAGGAGGAACACCGGUGGCGAAGGCGGCCCCCUGGUUGGAUACUGACGCUGAGACGCGAAAGCGUGGGGAGCAAACAGG
rnacentral:rRNA from 1 species